GCUCCUGUCAUCUGGGGAGUAGCCAGCCGUUCCGCCAUGAAGGAACGGGCCGUUCGUCAACAUAUUUGGCCGAGAGGCCAUGGCGGACGGGAUGGAGAGCCUGACGGGCUUUCUUCAUCGGGCGAGACCAAU
rnacentral:sRNA from 2 species